CAGCCGAACCCCGGGGGGGUCUGAUAUCCGGAUAUUUGUUCCUGACACCAUCCGCUCCGCGGUCAUGGAGUGGGCCCACUCCUCCAGGCUUGCCUGCCACCCGGGUGCCUGUCGGACCCUGGCCUUUGUGCGACAGCACUUUUGGUGGCCAACUAUGGUUCCUGACAUGUCUGCAUUCAUCACCGCUUGCACAGUGUGUGCACAGAACAAGACUCCUAGGCAAGCUCCGGCUGGUCUCCUACAACCUCUGCCUGUCCCCCACCAUCCCUGGUCUCACAUCUCCCUGGCCUUUGUCACGGGUCUUCCCCCGUCUGAUGGCAACAUCGCCAUCCUGACCGUGGUGAAUCGGUUUUCCAAAGCCGCCCACUUCGUUCCUCUCCCUAAACUACCCUCUGCCAAAGAGAUGGCCUAGCUCAUGGUGCAGCACAUCUUCGGGAUCCAUGGACUGCCCGUGGACAUGGUCUCCGACCGGGGUCCUCAGUUCUUGUCCCAGUUCUGGAAGGCGUUCUUCACCCUCAUUUUGUCGUUGGUCAGCCUGUCCUCCGGCUUCCACUCCCAGUCCAACGGCCAGUCAGAGCGAGCCAACCAGGUCCUCGAAACUACCCUGUGCUUCCUGGUCUCCGCCAACCCCACCACCUGGAGCCAGCAGUUUGUGUGGAUCGAAUACGCCUGCAAAACCCUUCCCUGCUCUUCCACGGGCCUAUCUCCCUUUGAGUGUUCCCUGGGGUAUCAGCCCCCGCUCUUCCCUGAGCAGGAAGAGGAGGUUGGCAUACCUUCUGCCCAGAUGUUUGUCCGCCGCUGUUGUCGUACCUGGAGGAGAGACCGGUCGGCCCUCCUCAAGACUACCUCCAGGUAUCAAUGACAAGCAGAUCGCCAUCGGUCCCCGGCUUCCCAGGCAGAAGGCCCACCCCUCCUCCCUGUAUCGUUGAUGGCCAUCCGUACACAGUGAGAUGCCUCCUGAGGGUUCGACCACGGGACAGGGGUUUCCAGUACAUGGUUGACUGGGAGGGUUACAGCCCGGAGGAGGGGUGCUGGGUCCCCGCUAGAGACAUCCUGGACCCAACCCUCAUCGCCGACUUCCACCGCCGGCACCCCGGUCAACCAGGAGGGAAAAGGCAUCAUGAGAGAGGAGAAGAAAAAAAGAGGAGAGAAAGUUUGGGUCGAGGAGUGCUUGAGCAUGGAGAGAGAGAGAGAGAGAGAGAGAAGAGAUGAGGCAGAUGAGAAAGGAGUGAGCUAGUAGGAAGUUGGUUACAGACACUGAUCUAUGUCUUAUAGGACAGGAGACAAGGACAGAAUUCCGUGUAACCUAUUAGGAAGUAGCCAAAGAGGCAUGAAGUAUACUUUCUCUUUAGUGGCUGUUUUUGUGCAAAGGCCUACUGGAGAGAACCACAUGGGCCAUAGCUAGCACAUGGUAGAUAUGGCACCACAUUAACACAGGAUGGCUCAGCCCACAGAAGAACACUGUCAUUUUUCGUCAUACUCCAAAUUGAUUGGUAUCUACAAGAUUUAUUGAGGAGCACAACCAUUCACAAGACCUCAAGAAGCCAUUUGGAAAAACCUGCAACCCAGGAUGCCAUGGAUAAAAGGGUCCAGAUUCAGGUCAACCUUUAGCUGAAAGAGGCCUCCGAUUGUGAAGGUGGGAGAAGGCCGUGCACAGGGGAGAGGGAUCCGCUGCAGUGAGAGUCAGCAUCAAGUCUCGGACCACCUAUCUCAAAACCAGCCUCUACUCCCAAGCCACAAGACUGAUCCAACAGCUGAACCCUGGGCUGACUCCUGCACCUUACCACACACUUACCAUUUAGUCAUAUUCUGUACACAUAAAUCACUUUAGUCUACCGGACCAAUGAAGUAGUUAUGUCAACUGCACUAUGUAGAUAUACUAUUAUUAUAAUUCUAUGCUGCUACUGCAUUGUAGUUAUUCCACUCUAUGGGCAAAACAUUUCCAUACUAUAUGAAUAUAGGCUAUUUUGGUUUUAUCUUAAGGCUGUUUUUGUUUGAUCUUAUUCUUAUUUAUAUCUUAUAUCUUUUUUUGAUCUGCAUGCUUCUUUUGUACAUGUUUUUAUUGUUUAAUUGUUAGUAGGUCACACAGGAAAGGAAUCAAAUAAGUGACAUUGUACAUUUUACAAUGUCACUUAUUUGAUUCCGUUACAAUGUCACAUUAAUUACUGUGUGAGGAGCCUGUCAAUCAUUUUUUGUUGUUAUUGAUUUUACUGGAUUUAUUUGUCAUCACCUGUUGAUCCAGGGAACCAGGACUAGCCCUCAUUACCUGAUAUAUUUUGCACACACAUAAUCAUUUACAGUACUUGUUAGUACUUAUUGGAAAUCACAAUUCGUUUUUCAAAUGGACAUGGCAUCCAACGUAUCUUAAAUAAUAAAAGUCAAUAAAUAAAUAAGUGGUGAAAGGGAGUAGGCACGCUGCUGUCUUGACGCUGACAAAGCACCUUGCCUCCGACUGUCAGCUGUAGUGUCGCCAGUCGGAAGAAGGACAGGUGAAGGAUGGGGUGGGCUGUGUGAGGAAAACAGCACUUGAACUGCAGGAGCACGGCUGCCGCUUGAGAAAGUGGCAUAUCGCGGGCGCCCCAUGAAUGAGGCGAUUGGCAAAAAAGCUGUCGUACGACCACUCGGGAGGGAUGCCGGCCUCCCGAUUGCUCAUUGUGAACUCGGUAGCAAAGUGCAAAGAAAUGUUAAUUCUGGUCAGGGGGAGUUCCCGCUUGAAUUUGGUUAAAAGGGCAGUGAAUUCGCUCAUACUUUGAGAACUUGUUAGCAAGCUCCUGAGACACAUCAUUUUUCUCUCAGAGAUUAUUAACUGAAGACACAUGUAACUACUUUAAGUCUUAUUUAGUGAUAAUCAUUUACUCUGUGUUAUUCUGUAACGUUUCAUGUAUUUCAUGUACACUGUAAUAGUUUGAGUGUAAAUUAUUUCAUGACUAAUAAAUCCUAUUAGUGAGUGAAUGCA
rnacentral:lncRNA from 1 species